CUCACUGAUUUGCUUAGGGCCUCACUAAGUUGCUAAGGCUGGCUUUGAAUUCUCCUACCUCAGCCUUCAAAGUGAGUACUGGGAUUACAGGCAUGCUGUACUUCACCCAGCACCUUAUUAAGGUUUUUAAAAGUGGAAGAGACUAUGGGAGGAAAAAAGGGAGAAUGCAGAAAAGGGUGAAGCCAUUGCUCUUCCUGCAGGCUUCUAACCAACAUCCUGAGAGAAGCUGGCUGUGAGAUCACAGUGAACUAGGUGUUCAACCUAGACCCAAGAAGUUACUAUUCAGUAACCUUGGCCAGUCAUCUCACCUCAUUGAGGCCCAGCCUCUGCAAAUGGAAAAAAGAUGGAAAAACUGCAACUCAGAAGUAAAAUGAGUUCACCAAGGUUAAAGCAACAAGAACAUUGUCUUUUCUAACAGAGUUUGACAAUAUUUCUACUUUACUCUCAAGGACACCAGUUGAGAAGGGAAGAAUCACUAGAGAACCCUGGCAAGCUGGAACACAGGCUCUAGCUAGUGAAGACUGGGGAGAUGGUCUUCUCCUAGACCUCAAUCUCAAUGCCAAAGUGCUUUUGCAGCCUGAACAAGACAACCAAGGCUCCAGCAACUGGUGUCUUUUUCACUAGUCAUCCCUAAGCAAGAGAAGAACAAAAGAACAGUUACUUCAGAAGCUGGAAAGUUGAGAGUUGGGUGGGGGAAGUUCAGCAGGAAAGUUGAGAGUUGGGUGGGGGAAGACCUAGAGGGCUAAAAGCUGCUUCUGGUCCUAGACUGCAUUCAAGUACAAAGGGGAACAGAGAAUAGAGUAAGCUGAGCAUCGUCUUACAGGUCUGUAAUUCCAGUUAUUUGGAUGGCUGAGGUAGAAAGAUGGCAAGUUUGAAGCCAAAAUGGGAAAUUUAGUAAGACCCUGUCUAAAAAAAAAACAAUAAAGGGUGUGUGAGUCCACAGCUGACAAGUAAGAAGCACUGGAAAGAAGCCACUGCUCAAA